rnacentral:rRNA from 1 species
CAGUAGCCGCGGGAAUACGGAGGGUGCAAGCGUUAAUCGGAAUUACUGGGCGUAAAGCGCACGCAGGCGGUCUGACAAGUCAGAUGUGAAAUCCCCGGGCUUAACCUGGGAACUGCAUUUGAAACUGUCAGGCUGGAGUCUUGUAGAGGGGGGUGGAAUUCCAGGUGUAGCGGUGAAAUGCGUAGAGAUCUGGAGGAAUACCGGUGGCGAAGGCGGCCCCCUGGACAAAGACUGACGCUCAGGUGCGAAAGCGUGGGGAGCAAACAGGAUUAGAUACCCGUGUAGUCCCUGUCUCUUAUAA